UACGGAGGAUCCGAGCGUUAUCCGGAUUUAUUGGGUUUAAAGGGUGCGCAGGCGGGAUGUUAAGUCGGCGGUGAAAUUUUGCAGCUCAACUGUAAAAGUGCCUUCGAUACUGGCUUUCUUGAGUGUGGAUGAAGUAGGCGGAAUUUGUGGUGUAGCGGUGAAAUGCUUAGAUAUCACGAGGAACUCCGAUUGCGCAGGCAGCUUACUAAACCACUACUGACGCUCAUGCAUGAAUGCGUGGGGAUCAAACAGGAUUA
rnacentral:rRNA from 1 species